AUUUAGAGGAAGGAGAAGUCGUAACAAGGUUUCCGUAGGUGAACCUGCGGAAGGAUCAUUGUCGAACCUACAAAGUUAACAGCGAACCUAUCAACACAUCGAGUGAGGCACGGGGGGUGCGUUCGGUCUCUCCUCCCUUGCCACACGUCGAGACGCACCAUCCGGUGUGUUCUCGGCAAAACAACGAACCCCGACGCGAUUCGCGUCAAGGAACUAAAACACAAGAGCUUUCCUCGCCAUGCCCCGUUUACGGUGCGCUUGGGAGGUGUUGGCUUCUUUUGAAACAAAAAUGACUCUCGGCAACGGAUAUCUCGGCUCUCGCAUCGAUGAAGAACGUAGCGAAAUGCGAUACUUGGUGUGAAUUGCAGAAUCCCGUGAACCAUCGAGUCUUUGAACGCAAGUUGCGCCCGAAGCCAUUACGCUAAGGGCACGUCUGCCUGGGCGUCACGCAUUGCGUCACCCCCCAACCCCGGGUCCCCUUAUAUGGGGUCAUGGAUGUUUGGGGGUGGAGAAUGGCCUCCCGUGCGCUACCAUGUGCGGCUGGCCCAAGAUAAAGUCCCUUUCGUCGGACAUCACGACAAGUGUUGGUUGCAAAACUAAUUUAUAUUGUCGUAACGGAUACCGUCGACGGGUGACAGUCACAUGACCCUGAUGCACCCUGUGCUACAAUUGCGACCCCAGGUCAGGCGGGACUACCCGCUGAGUUUA
rnacentral:rRNA from 1 species